GACGAACGCUGGCGGCGUGCUUAACACAUGCAAGUCGAACGGUGAAGCGCCUUCCUUUUUGGUGGGUGUGGAUGAGUGGCGAACGGGUGAGUAACACGUGAGUAACCUGCCCCCUUCUUCUGGAUAACCGCAUGAAAGUGUGGCUAAUACGGGAUAUUCUGGUUCUGUCGCAUGAUGGGUCUGGGAAAGAUAUUGUUUCGGUGGGGGAUGGGCUCGCGGCCUAUCAGCUUGUUGGUGGGGUGAUGGCCUACCAAGGCGGUGACGGGUAGCCGGCCUGAGAGGGUGGACGGUCACACUGGGACUGAGACACGGCCCAGACGCCUACGGGAGGCAGCAGUGGGGAAUAUUGCACAAUGGGCGCAAGCCGGAUGCAGCGACGCCGCGUGAGGGAUGGAGGCCUUCGGGUUGUGAACCUCUUUCGCCAGUGAAGCAGGCCUGCCUCGUUUGUGGGUGGGUUGACGGUAGCUGGAUAAGAAGCGCCGGCUAACUACGU
rnacentral:rRNA from 1 species